rnacentral:rRNA from 1 species
GGUUAAGCGACUAAGCGUACACGGUGGAUGCCCUGGCAGUCAGAGGCGAUGAAGGACGUGCUAAUCUGCGAUAAGCGUCGGUAAGGUGAUAUGAACCGUUAUAACCGGCGAUUUCCGAAUGGGGAAACCCAGUGUGAUUCGUCACACUAUCAUUAACUGAAUCCAUAGGUUAAUGAGGCGAACCGGGGGAACUGAAACAUCUAAGUACCCCGAGGAAAAGAAAUCAACCGAGAUUCCCCCAGUAGCGGCGAGCGAACGGGGAGCAGCCCAGAGCCUGAAUCAGUGUGUGUGUUAGUGGAAGCGUCUGGAAAGGCGCGCGAUACAGGGUGACAGCCCCGUACACAAAAAUGCACAUGCUGUGAGCUCGAUGAGUAGGGCGGGACACGUGGUAUCCUGUCUGAAUAUGGGGGGACCAUCCUCCAAGGCUAAAUACUCCUGACUGACCGAUAGUGAACCAGUACCGUGAGGGAAAGGCGAAAAGAACCCCGGCGAGGGGAGUGAAAAAGAACCUGAAACCGUGUACGUACAAGCAGUGGGAGCACGCUUAGGCGUGUGACUGCGUACCUUUUGUAUAAUGGGUCAGCGACUUAUAUUCUGUAGCAAGGUUAACCGAAUAGGGGAGCCGAAGGGAAACCGAGUCUUAACUGGGCGUUAAGUUGCAGGGUAUAGACCCGAAACCCGGUGAUCUAGCCAUGGGCAGGUUGAAGGUUGGGUAACACUAACUGGAGGACCGAACCGACUAAUGUUGAAAAAUUAGCGGAUGACUUGUGGCUGGGGGUGAAAGGCCAAUCAAACCGGGAGAUAGCUGGUUCUCCCCGAAAGCUAUUUAGGUAGCGCCUCGUGAAUUCAUCUCCGGGGGUAGAGCACUGUUUCGGCAAGGGGGUCAUCCCGACUUACCAACCCGAUGCAAACUGCGAAUACCGGAGAAUGUUAUCACGGGAGACACACGGCGGGUGCUAACGUCCGUCGUGAAGAGGGAAACAACCCAGACCGCCAGCUAAGGUCCCAAAGUCAUGGUUAAGUGGGAAACGAUGUGGGAAGGCCCAGACAGCCAGGAUGUUGGCUUAGAAGCAGCCAUCAUUUAAAGAAAGCGUAAUAGCUCACUGGUCGAGUCGGCCUGCGCGGAAGAUGUAACGGGGCUAAA